GACAGAGGGUGCAAACGUUGUUCGGGAUUACUGGGCGUAAAGCGCAUGUAGGCGGCAACGCAAGUCGGGCGUGAAAUCCCACGGCUCAACCGUGGAAGUGCACUCGAAACUGCGUAGCUAGAGUCCUGGAGAGGAAGGUGGAAUGCUUGGUGUAGAGGUGAAAUUCGUAGAUAUCAAAGCGGAACACCGGUGGCGAAGGCGGCCUUCUGGACAGUGACGUGACGGCUGAGAUGCGAAAGCGUGGGGAGCAAACAGGGAUUAAGAAACCCUGGGUACGUCCG
rnacentral:rRNA from 1 species